ACGCAACCUGUGUAGGCUCGCGGCAGACAAUGACGUUGCCCAGGGACGGGAGCGGAGGAGGAAAAGACAAGGUCAGAUGAUCCUCAAGGUAACUUACAGACAACAGGCCUAUGUUUGGCGGGAAAAACAACAUAGCAGCUUUGGACUUCUGGCAAGUGGCGAAGAUGCUUUCAUUAAACCACUGGAGCCCUGGUGCACAGAAGUACACUGAGUCCCAGAGAAGAUAUUUGUUGCUUUUGCUGAAGUCAAAACGAUCUCUUGGGUAUGUUCUUUAGUGAGCAGAAGACCUGGAAUUACCUCC